GCUGGCGGCGUGCUUAACACAUGCAAGUCGAGUGCGCGUACCGUAGCAAUACGGUAUGGCGCACGGCGCACGGGUGCGUAACACGUGGGUAACCUGCCCUUUGAUGGGGAAUAACCCCGGGAAACCGGGGCUAAUUCCGCAUAAGAUCCGCAAGGAUGAAAGCCGUAAGGCGUCGAAGGAGGGGCCCGCGCACGAUUAGCUAGUUGGUGAGGUAAUGGCUCACCAAGGCUUUGAUCGUUAGCUGGUCUGAGAGGAUGGCCAGCCACACUGGAACUGAGACACGGUCCAGACUCCUACGGGAGGCAGCAGUGGGGAAUCUUGCACAAUGGGCGAAAGCCUGAUGCAGCGACGCCGCGUGGGGGAUGAAGCAUUUCGGUGUGUAAACCCCUUUCGACCCGGACGAAUACCUCGCAAGGGGGGUGACGGUACGGGUAUAAGAAGCCCCGGCUAACUACGUGCCAGCAGCCGCGGUAAGACGUAGGGGGCCAGCGUUGUUCGGAAUUACUGGGUGUAAAGGGUCAGUA
rnacentral:rRNA from 1 species